rnacentral:rRNA from 1 species
AGUAAAUAAUAAUUACGAAAGCAAAAAAUUAUGGCGGUAUUUUAAGCUUUUCAGAGGAAUUUGCUCUUUAAUGGAUAAAACACCUAAAUCUUACUUAAAUUUGUUAGGUCAAUUUGUAUACCACUAUUAAAUUAAUUAAUAAUUUUAAUUUAUAAAAUUUAUAUAAAUUUAAAAAAAAUUAAGUCAAGGUGCAGUAAAAAUUUAAGAAUGAAGUGAAUUACAAUUCUCUUAAGAGAUUAUUUAAAUUAAAAUUUUAAUUUAGGAUUUGAAAGUAAAAUUAAAAUAGAAUGUUAAUUUGAAUAAAGCUCUAAAAUAUGUACAUA